rnacentral:rRNA from 1 species
GUAGGUGGCAAGCGUUGUCCGGAAUUAUUGGGGCGUAAAGCGCGCGCAGGCGGUUCUUUAAGUCUGAUGUGAAAGCCCACGGGCUCAACCGUGGAGGGUCGUUGGAAACUGGAGAACUUGAGUACAGAAGAGGAAAGCGGAAUUCCACGUGUAGCGGUGAAAUGCGUAGAGAUGUGGAGGAACACCAGUGGCGAAGGCGGCUUUCUGGUCUGUAACUGACGCUGAGGCGCGAAAGCGUGGGGAGCAAACAGGAUUAGAUACCCUGGUAGUCCACGCCGUAAACGAUGAGUGCUAAGUGUUAGGGGGUUUCCGCCCCUUAGUGCUGCAGCUAACGCAUUAAGCACUCCGCCUGGGGAGUACGGCCGCAAAGGCUG